rnacentral:ncRNA from 2 species
AGUGAAGGUAGAGGUGCGAACUUAAUCAGUAAAAGCUUGGAGAAGGAUGAGCUUCAAGGAAAAGCUUUGAAAGGAAAGUUCGCCGAAGUGAAGAUAGUACUCAUUGCUUUCUUUGCUGGUCCUGCAUUGAAUAAAUGUUGGAUUGUCAAGACGUCUUGUCUUGGAGAGCUAUCUCACUG